rnacentral:rRNA from 1 species
GGGGGAACCCCGACGCAGCCAUGCCGCGUGAAUGAUGAAGGUCUUAGGAUUGUAAAAUUCUUUCAGCGGGGAAGAUAAUGACGGUACCCGCAGAAGAAGCCCCGGCUAACUUCGUGCCAGCAGCCGCGGUAAUACGAAGGGGGCUAGCGUUGCUCGGAAUUACUGGGCGUAAAGGGCGCGUAGGCGGGUGUUUAAGUCAGAGGUCAAAUCCCAGGGCUCAACCCUGGAACUGCCUUUGAUACUGGACACCUAGAGUAUGGGAGAGGUGAGUGGAACUCCGAGUGUAGAGGUGAAAUUCGUAGAUAUUCGGAAGAACACCAGUGGCGAAGGCGACUCACUGGCCCAUUACUGACGCUGAGGCGCGAAAGCGUGGGGAGCAAACAGGAUUAGAUACCCUGGUAGUCCACGCCGUAAACGAUGAGUGCUAGUUGUCGGCAUGCAUGCAUGUCGGUGACGCAGCUAACGCAUUAAGCACUCCGCCUGGGGAGUACGGUCGCAAGAUUAAAACUCAAAAAAAUUGACGGA